UCCGUAGGUGAACCUGCGGAGGGAUCAUUGCCGAGUUGAGAAACUCCCACACCACCGCGAACGUACCCGACCGUUGCCUCGGCGGGCGGCUCCAGGGCGGAGCCUCCCGGCCCCCCGCGGGGGGGGUGCCCGCCGCUGGCCCCGCAAACCCACUGUCAUCGCCGUCAUUCGGACCCAAAAAAAACAAAUCAAAACUUUCAACAAUGGAUCUCUUGGCUCUGGCACCGAUGAAGAACGCAGCGAAAUGCGAUAAGUAAUGCGAAUUGCAGAAUCCAGCGAGUCAUCGAAUCUUUGAACGCACAUUGCGCCCGCCAGCACUCUGGCGGGCAUGCCUGUCCGAGCGUCACCAGCAGACCCGUCAAGCCCGGCUUGUGUUGGGGGACCGCGGCCGCCGCGGCCCCCGAAAUGCAGUGGCGAGGCCCCGCCGCGCCGAGCGCAGUAGACCCUGCCCGCUCCGGCGCGCGCGGGCGCCCCCCGCCGUAAAAACCCAACGCGCACAUGACCUCGGAUCAGGUAGGAAUACCCGCUGAACUUAAGCAUAUCAAUAAGCGGAGGA
rnacentral:rRNA from 1 species